GGCAGCCUGGGUGAGGCGGCGCUGGGGAGUUUGGCGCUUCCGUUCGGGAGUUUGGCUCUGCCGGUUGUCG
rnacentral:tRNA from 1 species